CCUACGUGUGGCAGCAGUGAGGAAUAUUGGUCAAUGGGCGCGAGCCUGAACCAGCCAAGUCGCGUGAGGGAUGAAGGUUCUAUGGAUCGUAAACCUCUUUUAUAAGGGAAUAAAGUGUGGGACGUGUCCUAUUUUGUAUGUACCUUAUGAAUAAGGAUCGGCUAACUCCGUGCCGGCAGCCGCGGUAAUACGGAGGUUCCGAGCGUUAUCCGGAGUUAUUGGGUUUAUAGGGUGCGUAGGCGGCCUUUUAAGUCAGCGGUGAAAGUCUGUGGCUCAACCAUAGAAUUGCCGUUGAAACUGGGGGGCUUGAGUAUGUCUGAGGCAGGCGGAAUGUGUGGUGUAGCGGUGAAAUGCUUAGAUAUCGCGCAGAACCCCGAGUGCGAAGGCAGCCUGCCAAGCCAUGACUGACGCUGAUGCACGAAAGCGUGGGGAUCAAACAGGAUUAGAUACCCCAGUAGUC
rnacentral:rRNA from 1 species